UACGUAGGGUGCAAGCGUUAAUCGGAAUUACUGGGCGUAAAGCGUGCGCAGGCGGUUUUGUAAGUCUGUCGUGAAAUCCCCGGGCUUAACCUGGGAAUGGCGUUUGAAACUACGGAGCUGGAGUGUGGCAGAGGGAGGUAGAAUUCCACGUGUAGCGGUGAAAUGCGUAGAUAUGUGGAGGAAUACCGAUGGCGAAGGCAGCCUCCUGGGCCAACACUGACGCUCAUGCACGAAAGCGUGGGGAGCAAACAGG
rnacentral:rRNA from 1 species